UCUUCCCUCUUCCCUCCUGCUUAACACAUGCAAGUCGAUGGGGAAGUGGUGCUUGCACCAUGGCAACCAUGGCGGACGGGUGAGUAACGCGUAAGGGACUUACCUGCAGGACUGGGAUAACAGGGGGAAACUCCUGACAAGACCGGAUAAUGUCAUGGAGCUGCAUGGCUUUAUGAUGAAAGGAGACGCCUGCGGAGAGCCUUGCGUCCUAUUAGCUAGUUGGUGAGGUAAUGGCUCACCAAGGCGAAGAUAGGUAGCCGGCCUGAGAGGGUGGACGGCCACAAGGGGACUGAGAUACGGCCCUUACUCCUACGGGAGGCAGCAGUGGGGAAUAUUUGACAAUGGGGGCAACCCUGAUCCAGCAAUUCUGUGUGCACGAAGAAGGUUUUCGGAUUGUAAAGUGCUUUCAGCAGGGAAGAAGUAAGUGACGGUACCUGCAGAAGAAGCGACGGCGAAAUACGU
rnacentral:rRNA from 1 species